rnacentral:misc_RNA from 1 species
UUUCCGUAGGUGAACCUGCGGAAGGAUCAUUAUUGUAUAACCGAGGUGCGAGGGCUGUCGCUGACCCUCAAGGUCGUGCACGCCCGAGUGCCGUCACAAACAUCCAUCUCACCCCUAUGUGCACCUCCGCGUGGGUCCCCCUUUGGCUUGUUCGGAGGGGGGCUUACGUUUUCACACAAACUUUGUAUGCAGUGUAGAAUGUAUUUUUUGGUGUUGCGAUCACGCAAAAAAUACAACUUUCAACAACGGAUCUCUUGGCUCUC